CAAACGGCCCUUUUCAGGGCCACCAAAUGAUUUCAACUGCAACUGA
rfam:Trichuris trichiura, WGS project CBXK01000000 data, contig: TTRE_31